ensembl:lincRNA
CUGGAUUUCCCCAUCCUCUCCCUCCACUGGCUCCUUCUCCCUGCCCAGAUUCCUUUAGCCCAUCCCCAAGGCCCUGCACUAGCCCUCUCUGUCCACACCAGCCCUCUGGACACGGUCACCUCUUCCCUCCCCCAGCAUCAACUGGUAUCCCAGCCUGGGCUGAACCGAGGCCUCAUCCUAGAUCUUCUUGACAAACUGAAGAAUCCUGGGAAAGGACCCUCCAUCGGGGACAUUGAGGAUGAGGAGCCCGAGGUGAGAGCCUUGGCUGACAAGCACUGGCGACCUCGUGGUCUUUCUCAGGCUGUGCCCGCUGCACAGCCUGAGAAAGGAGUGGCUUCCUGCCACCUCUCUUAGGGGGAAAGCAGGGUGGGAAGAUGGGGAAUGUGGUAUACAAGGCUGUGUGCCCAGAAGGUUACAAGAGAGCAGAUGGACCCCUGGCAGGGUAGGGGGCUGCUUUGGGGUUCUAAGCCCUGACGUGACUGCCCCUCUGCCCAGCUACCCCCUGCUGUCCCCCGGCGGAUCAGAUCCACACACCGCUCCAGCUCUCUGGGGAUCCCUGAUGCAGACUGCUGUCAGUCUUGUUCUGUCACCAGGCACCAGGUUGGAGUCCAGUGGCAUGAUCUCGGCUCACUGCAACCUCCACCUCCUGGGUUCAAUCAGUUCUCCUGCCUCAGCCUCCCAAGUAGCUGGGACUACAGGGCGGCACAUGGAGUUCAGGAAGCUCCGAGGAGUGGAGACCAGACCCCCAGCCGAAACGGUGAGAUGCUGCCCUCCACUCCCCGCCACACCCCUUGCUUCCCCGAGGCCUCUGUUGACCCUUUUCCUACUCCACAGGCUCGCCUACAGCCCACCAGAGACCUCAAGAGCAGCAGCCCCAGGUCAGGGACCCCAGGGAGGGCGGUGAGGGUCUGGGAUGUGUGCAAGGCCCCCAAGGCUCAUACCUGUCACCCUUCAGGAAGCAACUGUCUGAGUCGUCCGACAAUGACUAUGACGACGUGGACAUGUAAGUGAGGCCAUGCCUGCAGCUCGGCAGGCACCACCUCAGCCCCCACCUUCCUAUAAGCCCCCGACAUGACCUUUCCUCGACUCCUGACCCCACUGCACCUCUGCCUGUCUUCCAGCCCUGAGCCCUGAGUCCUGACCAGACCCUCAAUGCAGCCCCCUGGGCCCUGUGCCCUAACCUCACCUCCCUUAACCCUUCACCUCCAACCCCUGACGGCCAACCUGAUCCCAGCUCCAGCUCUUACCUUCCUUCUACCUUCUGGUUUUUUUUUUUUUUUUUGAGACGGAGUCUCGCUCUGUCAUCCAGGCUGGAGUACAGUGGUGCAAUCUUGGCUUACUGCAACCUCUGCCUCCCGGGUUCAAGCAAUUCUCCUGCCUCAGCUUCUCGAGUAGCUGGGAUUACAGGCACAUGCUACCAUGCCCAGCUAAUUUUUGUAUUUUUAGUAGAGAUGAGUUUUCACCAUGUUGGCCAGGAUGGUCUCAAUCUCUUGACCUCGUGAUCUGCUCACCUCGACCUCCAAAAUGCUGGGAUUACAGGUGUGAGCCACUGUGCCCAGCCCCUUCUACCUUCUUAUACAAUCUUUGACCUGACCCCCAAUGUCAGGCCCCCACCUGCUCGCUACCCCAGAGCUGACCCCAUUUCCUUCUAGAAUGUACUGCUGCUCCAAUCAUCUCUGACUCCACCCAAAGUAUCCUGCAUGACCCUGGACCCUCAGCCACGUCCUAGUCUGAAGCUCCUCCCACAUGUCACUCUCACCCCAGACCCACCCCAGCUGUCAGCCCCAGCCCUCAGCUUUUUCUGACUUUUUUCCUACUCUCAAGCUGAAACUUGGCACCCAGAAAUUUCCCCAAGGCCGGAUGCUGAGCUCCAGAUCCAGACCCAGCAGUCAGCCCAGGCCCCCGUGUUCCCCAGUCCACAGGCAGACUCAGGCUCCAGGCGCGUGCACUCGCUCCGCCCAUCACAUGUGACAGCCUGUGUGUGGUGCCAGCACAGGGAGAGCUGGGCCACAGCACUGAUGUCACCUGUGGCACUAGGGUGGCGUAAAGAUGCCAAGCCGUGGUGCACUGUCGGCACUCCACCUCCAAGAGCUGCUGUUACUGUCAUUCAUCCUAUUUUUUGAGACAAGCUAAUCAUUUUUUGUAGAGAUGGAGUCUCGCCAUGUUGUCCAGGCUGGUCUCAAACUCAUGAUUUGCUUCAGCGCCCAGGCUGAGUGCAGGGGUGCCAUGACGGCUCACUGCAGCCUCAACCUCCCAGGCUCAAGCGAUCCUCCCACUUCAGCCUCCUGAGUAGCUGGGGCCACAGGUGCUUCCUACCACGCCUGGCUAAUUUUUAAUUUUUUUGUAGAGAUAGAAUCUCACUAUGCUGUCCAGGCUGGUCUCAAACUCCUGGGCUCAAGCCAUCUUCCUGCCCUGGCCUCCCAAAGCACUGUGAUUAUAGGCAUGAGCCACCAUGUUCGGCCUGGUUAUUAAUCCUUUAACCCUCAGCUCCAGCCAGAAUCAGUCACCCGUUAAGCCUCCUCACCUCAAACCCCAGUCCCAGGCCUCCAGCCCAGAACCACGCCAUCUUCCCCGAGUCCUUGUUUCCCAGGCCUCCAGCGAUUUAGCCCAUCUUUGUGUUUCAGCCCUACCCCUGCAGAGGACACACCUCCUCCACUGCCCCCCAAGGUAAUGCCCUGGGCCAGAGCUGGGAGGAUGGGGCCUCAGGGCUGCUGGGGGCCAGCAGGCCAGGUCCUUAGAUGCUGGGAUACUGGGCUCUCCAGGGCAGGGAAUCGGGGAGACCAGGAUGAUGGCUACAUUGGCAUCUGGAAGUGGCAUCCCUCAACCUCAGGGUGGGAUUCAAAAUAUUUAGCCUCUUGGACACUGGUCAGUAGCUGGUCCCAGGAAGCCCCUGCUGUAUCCAGCCUUAACUUAUUAGUUUCUAGAGUGUGUUGAUGUCUGGGCUGGGGGUGUCAGGGGAAGGCUGGAGGGGGCGCAAGAUGUUGUGGGGAGGCUCAGAGCCAUAGCUGUUAGUUCUAGUGGAGGCAGGGACUGGAAUUGCAAAAGGGUGCCCUCUCUGAGAUCAUCUGAUGUAUUUCCCCAUGCUCCGUUCCUGUCUCCAAAGCCCAAGUUCCGUUCUCCAUCAGAUGAAGGUCCUGGGGGUAUAGGGGAUGAUGGGCAGCUGAGCCCGGGGGUGCUUGUCCGGUGUGCCAGUGGGCCCCCACCACACAGCCCCCGUCCUGCGCCUUCCCCAUCCACCAGCAGCCCCCAUCUCACCGCCCAUUCAGGUAAUGGGACAGGCUGGGGUCGAAGGUGGGAAGGGGUGGGGGGUAUUGGGGGCUGAUUUUCGCGCCUAACCCUUCUCAGAACCCUCACUCUGGAACCCACCCUCCUGGGAGCUCAACAAGCCCCCACUCCUGCCCCCCAAGAAGGAAAAGAUGAAGAGAAAGGUGAGGUUCAACUCUGCUGAGGACUCGAACCUCUGAACGGGGCUGCCUGGUGGGGUGAGGAGGGGGUGGCAGGACUGACAGUAACAGGUGACAUUUGUUGAGCACUUCUCUGUGCCCAACUCUGACCUGCGCCUGGCUCUUUUUUUUUUUUUUUAAUAUUUUUAAAAGGGUAUUUGAGGCUGGGUGUGGUGGCUCAUGCCUGUAAUCCCAGCAUUUUGGGAGGCUUAGGUAGGUGUAUCAAGAGGUCAGGAGUUUGAGACCAGCCUGGUCAGCAUGGUGAAACCCUGUCUCUACUGAAAAUACAAAAAAUUAGCCGGGCAUCGUGGCACAUGCCUGUAGUCCCAGCUACUCAGGAGGCUCAGGCAGGAGAAUCGCUUGAACCCGGCAGGCAGAGGUUGCAGUAAGCCGUGAUCGCGCCACUGUACUCCAACCUGGGCCAGGUGUGGUGGCAUGCACCUGUAAUCCCAGCUACUUGGGAGGCUGAGAAGAAUUGCUUGAGCCUAGAAGGUGGAGUUUGCAUGCAGUGAACCAAGAUUGCGCCACCGCACUCCAGCCUGGUGACAGAGUGAGACUCCAUCUUCAAAAACAAAACUGAUGGCUGGCCUUGGUGGCUCACACUUGUAAUCCUAGCACAUUGGGAGGCUGAGGCAGGUGGAUCACAUGAGGCCAGAAGUUCAAGACCAGCCUGGACAACAUAGCAAAACCCCAUCUCUACUAAAAAUACAAAAAUUAGCUGGCUGCGGUGGCUUGUACCUGUGGUCCCAGCUACUUAUAAGGCUUAGGCACAAGAAUCGCUGGAACUUGGGAAGCAGAGGUUGCAGUGAGCUGAGAUCAUGUCAUUGCAUUCCAGCCUGGGCAACAGAGUGAGACUGUCUUUUUUUUUUUUUUUUUAAGACGGGGUUUCACCAUGUUGGUCAGGCUGGUCUUG